GACGUAGGGCGCGAGCGUUGUCCGGAUUUAUUGGGCGUAAAGAGCUCGUAGGCGGCUUGUCGCGUCGACUGUGAAAACCCGCGGCUCAACCGUGUGGUCUGCAGUCGAUACGGGCAGGCGUAGAGUUCGGUAGGGGAGACGUGGAAUUCCUGGUGUGAGCGGUGAAAUGACGCAGAUAUCAGGAGGAACACCAGUGGCGAAGGCGGGUCUCUGGACAGUUCCUGACACUGGAGGCACGGAAGGCCCAGGGGAGCAAACGGG
rnacentral:rRNA from 1 species